rnacentral:rRNA from 1 species
AUUGAACGCUGGCGGCAGGCCUAACACAUGCAAGUCGAGCGGAUGAAGGGAGCUUGCUCCUGGAUUCAGCGGCGGACGGGUGAGUAAUGCCUAGGAAUCUGCCUGGUAGUGGGGGAUAACGUCCGGAAACGGGCGCUAAUACCGCAUACGUCCUGAGGGAGAAAGUGGGGGAUCUUCGGGCCUCACGCUAUCAGAUGAGCCUAGGUCGGAUUAGCUAGUUGGUGGGGUAAAGGCCUACCAAGGCGACGAUCCGUAACUGGUCUGAGAGGAUGAUCAGUCACACUGGAACUGAGACACGGUCCAGACUCCUACGGGAGGCAGCAGUGGGGAAUAUUGGACAAUGGGCGAAAGCCUGAUCCAGCCAUGCCGCGUGUGUGAAGAAGGUCUUCGGAUUGUAAAGCACUUUAAGUUGGGAGGAAGGGCAGUAAGUUAAUACCUUGCUGUUUUGACGUUACCAACAAAAUAAGCACCGGCUAACUUCGUG